rnacentral:misc_RNA from 1 species
AACGCACAUUGCGCCCUUUGGUAUUCCUUAGGGCAUGCCUGUUCGAGCGUCAUUUACAAAUUCAAGCUCAGCUUGGUGAUGGGUGUCUGUCCCGCCUUUGCGUGUGGACUCGCCUCAAAUGCAGUUGGCAGCUUGUUCCUCGACUCUAAACGCAGCAGAUUUGCGUCGAGCGUUGGGCGGACGGGCUCUCCAGUAAGUAAAUUUCACAAAUUGACCUCGGAUCAGGUAGGGAUACCCGCUGAACUUAA